GGAUUAUGGCUCAGAGGUAGAGUGCUUGCCUAGCAUGCGUGAGGCAUUGGGUUCAAUCCUCAGCACCA
rnacentral:tRNA from 1 species